rnacentral:rRNA from 1 species
UGCAGUCGAGCGGUAACAGGGGAGCUUGCUCCUGCUGACGAGCGGCGGACGGGUGAGUAACGCGUAGGAAUCUGCCUAGUAGUGGGGGACAACAUGUGGAAACGCAUGCUAAUACCGCAUAAGCCCUACGGGGGAAAGGAGGGGAUCUUCGGACCUUUCGCUAUUAGAUAGCCUGC